rnacentral:tRNA from 1 species
GCCCCAGUAGCUCAGCUGGUUAGAUCGCCUCCUUGGUAAGGAGGAAGUCGCGAGUUCGAAUCUCGCCUGGGGCUCCA